rnacentral:lncRNA from 1 species
AUUACAAGGCGGAAGUCCUGCCCGAGAGGACAGUCCCCAGGCCUUGCUAAGCAUGCGUGGUAUCAAGAGGUGCAUUGAGGCGCUCCUGCAGCCUCCUCCCGGCACGGGACUCCUCACAACCCCCAGCCUCAGCUUCCCUGACAGGGCAGGGGCUCACUCUUCUCCACUCCGGGCCAGGAACGCAGCCUGCUUGCCUUUUGUCCAAUUGGGUGCUCUUUCUUUGCGACUGAUACAAAGUGGGAACAAACUCCGCUUCCGGUGAUGCCCGGGCCCCAGGAGGCUGGGGGAGAAGUGCACGCUGCCCAGCCUUCAACCUGAACUGCCCCCAGCACUUCCGAGCCCCGACCCCUGCAGCUGUGAGGGCCCAGGGGCUGCUGGCUGCCAGGACCACCGCAUUGCAGAGGUCUCCCUUGCAGCAAGAGAUCUGGGAGUCCACAACGGCACUUAACCUGCCCUCUGCCCUGGCACCCCAGGGACUCACUGCCAAAGACGCUCACUUUCUGGGAGACACAGACCCCAUCCAGGAAGGGGCACGAGACCACGCUGCAGGAGGCCCCUUCCAAGACCGCCAAGCAUCUGUAGCAGCGCAGACCCUGAGCUGGGAGAGAGGGCAAGAAAACACACCCCUGGUGGAGAUUUAAGAUGCUAAUGACACAUGCGACGUAUGAGCAAGCAGGUGCAGCUACUGCACGUGUGCACCCAGAGGACCCCCCCAGAACAUGCUUCCUAGCAACACCUCUGCCCACCCGCUGAUUCUCUCGGCACCACGGGAACCACCUUCUCUACUCUCACUGAACACCCCUGGGAUGUAUCUGUAAAAAUUGGAACACCUUUCGGCUAGAAACCAGAGGAAGCCGCUCAUGACACCCGGGAGCUCACAGAGGCUCUGAAGUUUCUAUUCAAGAAAACAACUCCAGAUGGGGCUGAUCUGGAAGACAAGUAACAUCUUCCUUUUCUUGGUGCUCGCCUGCCGUGCUCUAGGUGCUUUUAGAGAUGCUGGUCUGUGUGCUAGGGAAGCGAUGAACCAUACUGUUAGUCUAUUAAACAUAACUCAACCUGGCUGGCUUUCCAUGACUACCAAACGCUGGGAAUAUGCCAGACCUGUGCCCGUGGAAGACUCUGGCCUCCCAGCACACCUCCAGGAACAAACUCCCUGGCCCGCAGGAUAGGGAUAGCAGCCCCAACCGUCAAUACAAAGGGAUUUUACUGAGUGGGCUCAUGGGUUCUUUAAGUUCCCCCUCUUAACGAUCAACGGUAAUUCAAACGUCCCAAAAGGAGAAAUGCUUUCUUAGCAUAUCUUUUACCUGGAGUAUUUCCCCUUCUGCCUUUACAGCAAUCAUGCCAGUUCUACCACUUUUGCAAGAAAGCUCCAAGAGAGUCAGUGUAGCUGAAACUUUGUCACUGGGUCACCUAUCUAGUCCAUAUGUCUGCAGGAAUUAUACUGAUAAAUGGACAACUCACCAUGCAAUCAAUCUCCCGCUCUAUCCUGUUCCCUGACCGGCAUGGUUUCUACUUCCUGUCAGCACAACUAGGACGUCUGGUUUCUGCUGGGCUGCCCUCUCAUGGGAAGCCUUUAAUCACUCUAGCUCAAUAUAUCCUCUGGGGACCAUCAACAUUUCCUAUUAAAGAUAACUACACCUGGCCGAGCGCGGUGGCUAACGCCUGUAAUCCCAGAACUUUGGGAAGCCAAGGCGGGUGGAUCACAAAGUCGGGAGAUCAAGACCAUCCUGGCUAACACAGUGAAACCCCUCCUCUACUAAAAAUACAAAAAAUUAGCCAGGCGUGGUGGUGGGUGCCUGUAAUCCCAGCUACUUGGGAGGCUGAGGCAAGAGAAUGGCGAACCUAGGAGGCAGAGUUUGCAGUGAGCUGAGAUGGUGCCACUGCACUCCAGCCUGGGGGACAGAGCUACACUCCAUCCC